rnacentral:rRNA from 1 species
AACUAACGCUGGCGGCGUGCCUAACACAUGCAAGUCGUACGAGAAAGCCGGCUUCGGCUGGUGAGUAAAGUGGCGCACGGGUGAGUAACGCGUGGAUAAUCUGCCCUUAAGUGUGGAAUAACGUACCGAAAGGUGCGCUAAUACCGCAUAAUGCCUGGCAACACAAGUUGUCCGGCCAAAGAAGGCCUCUGUUUACAAGCUUUCGCUUCAGGAUGAGUCCGCGUACCAUUAGCUUGUUGGUGGGGUAAUGGCCUACCAAGGCUGCGAUGGUUAGCUGGUCUGAGAGGAUGAUCAGCCACACUGGAACUGAGACACGGUCCAGACUCCUACGGGAGGCAGCAGUGAGGAAUAUUGCGCAAUGGGGCAACCCUGACGCAGCAACGCCGCGUGAGUGAGGAAGGUUUUCGGACUGUAAAGCUCUGUCGAGGCGGGAAGAAGUGUAACCAUGGCUAAUAUCCAUGAUAUUUGACGGUACG